CCAAUGUCUUGCCGCGUGUUCUUUCUCUCAUCUUCUGGCGUCUUCUUCAGCUGUCUCAAACAGACAGAAAAAGAGAGCACAGAUUAGCUUCUCGCGUCUCGCGUCUUCUUCAAAUAUCACAGAGAGAGAGAGAGGGAGAUGAUGUUCGGUUAGCAGAAAGGGAUAUAGCAGAGAGAGUGAGGAAGACGGGGAGAGCAGAUUUUUGAUCUGAGAUUCUGAAUUUGGGAAUCGAUGUGAAGACAUGGGUUUAGCGUUUUGUUUUGUUAACAGAAAGGUAUAGGGCAGAGAGAGUGGAGGAAGAUUGGAUUAGAUAAAUUUGGGGACAAGGCUCUGAUUUGGAGGAAUUGGCCAAGAUGGACAGAUUUGACGACCGAACCGCAUACCUGCUCAUCAACCAGGUUUGAGCAUGGUAAUGGCUGCCAUUGUUUUGAGUCAGCUAUGAGUUGUUGGCUUGGGUAGCAGGGGCUGAAAGGCAAGGACUAAAGAGUGCUUAGUUGACUCAAGUUGGAUUAACUCAAUGAGGAUAACCUUUAUGUAGUUCAAACCAAAAUAAAAGAAAAAGGAAGAUGAUAUAACAAGAAUGCUGUGCUGAUAUAACAUCAUGUACUUAUUGGAGUGGAAUUCAUACUAUCUUAGAUUUUCUUUGUUUUUAACUUGUCAAAUAUUUUUUGGGAUCUUUUCAAGUACAUGAUUAGCAGCUGUCCAUCAAUACUUUGGUUCAGAGCAUUGCAGGCUGGGUCUGCGUUGACAGUUGCGAUAAAUUUGAGUAAUUCGUUUUGUAUACGUGUAUUGAAUAGUAAUUUCAGGUGCUUGCCUUUUCAUAACUUUUCAAUUUCAGUAAAUACCAGCAACAGCUUACAAAAGAGGCUUGCAACUAAUUUAUACAUUGGAUUUUCACCUCCCAAAAAAGUUUCAUUCAUUCAUAUAUAAGUUAGAUUGUCUACUGACUUUUACCCCUUCUACACAGCUAUAGGGUGUACAUAACAGUUGCAGACACAGAUAACAAGUCACACUUGAUUCAGGGCGGUAUGUGUACGUUUUAGGAAUUUGAAUUGCAAUUUUUUUUGCUUCGGUUUCAUAGCUGCUGUUAGUUAAAAAGGAUUAGGGUUGGUAAAACUUAUAAUGAUUAAGGAUGUGUAUAUUGCUCAAUUUGAAUUCUGUUGAGCACAAUAAACAAAUGGCUCUGUCCUUCUAUUCUUUUUGAUACUUAUCUCUUUCGAUUUGAUUUUUGAUGGAGUACAACCAGUUCGGAUUUAUACUCUUAACUUAAUUUGAAAUGUUGGUGAUUCUUUGCAGCUGCUG